rnacentral:rRNA from 1 species
UACGGGGGGAGCAAGCGUUGUCCGGAUUUACUGGGCGUAAAGCGCGCGCAGGCGGACUGAUCAGUCUGGGGUGAAAUCUCACGGCUCAACUGUGAGCGGUCCCUGGAUACUGUCAGUCUUGAGAUGUCUAGAGGAGAGCGGAAUUCCCGGUGUAGUGGUGGAAUGCGUAGAUAUCGGGAAGAACACCAGUGGCGAAAGCGGCUCUCUGGGGACCAUCUGACGCUGAGGCGCGAAAGCGUGGGGAGCGAACCGG